GAUGAACGCUGGCGGCGUGCCUAACACAUGCAAGUCGAGCGGCAGCGAGGGGUGCUUGCACCCUGUCGGCGAGCGGCGGACGGCUGAGUAACGCGUGGGAACGUGCCCCAAAGUGAGGAAUAACUGCCCGAAGGGGUAGCUAAUACCGCAUAUUCUCUUCGGAUCAAAGGAUUUAUCCGCUUUGGGAGCGGCUCGCGUCGGAUUAGGUAGUUGGUGAGGUAAUGGCUCACCAAGCCGACGAUCCGUAGCUGGUCUGAGAGGAUGACCAGCCAGACUGGAACUGAGACACGGUCCAGACUCCUACGGGAGGCAGCAGUGAGGAAUCUUCCACAAUGGGCGAAAGCCUGAUGGAGCAACGCCACGUGCAGGACGAAGGCCUUCGGGUUGUAAACUGCUUUUAUAAGUGAGGAAUAUGACGGUAACUUAUGAAUAAGGAUCGGCUAACUACGUG
rnacentral:rRNA from 1 species